rnacentral:rRNA from 1 species
CAACAGGGAUUGCCCUAGUAACGGCGAGUGAAGCGGCAACAGCUCAAAUUUGAAAUCUGGCGUCUUUGGCGUCCGAGUUGUAAUUUGCAGAGGGCGCUUUGGCAUUGGCAGCGGUCCAAGUUCCUUGGAACAGGACGUCACAGAGGGUGAGAAUCCCGUACGUGGUCGCUAGCCUCUACCGUGUAAAGCCCCUUCGACGAGUCGAGUUGUUUGGGAAUGCAGCUCUAAAUGGGAGGUAAAUUUCUUCUAAAGCUAAAUACUGGCCAGAGACCGAUAGCGCACAAGUAGAGUGAUCGAAAGAUGAAAAGCACUUUGGAAAGAGAGUUAAAAAGCACGUGAAAUUGUUGAAAGGGAAGCGCUUGCAGCCAGACUUGCCUGUAGUUGCUCAUCCGGGUUUUUACCCGGUGCACUCUUCUAUAGGCAGGCCAGCAUCAGUUUGGGCGGUUGGAUAAAGGUCUCUGUCAUGUACCUCCUUUCGGGGAGAUCUUAUAGGGGAGACGACAUGCAACCAGCCCGGACUGAGGUCCGCGCAUCUGCUAGGAUGCUGGCGUAAUGGCUGUAAGCGGCCCGUCUUGAAACACGGACCAAGGAGUCUAACAUCUAUGCGAGUGUUUGGGUGUCAAGCCCGAACGCGUAAUGAAAGUGAACGGAGGUGGGAACCUUUCGGGGUGCACCAUCGACCGAUCCUGAUGUCUUCGGAUGGAUUUGAGUAAGAGCAUAGCUGUUGGGACCCGAAAGAUGGUGAACUAUGCUUGAAUAGGGUGAAGCCAGAGGAAACUCUGGUGGAGGCUCGCAGCGGUUCUGACGUGCAAAUCGAUCGUCAAAUUUGGGCAUAGGGGCGAAAGACUAAUCGAAC